UACAGAGGUCUCAAGCGUUGUUCGGAUUCAUUGGGCGUAAAGGGUGCGUAGGUGGCGCCGUAAGUCAGGUGUGAAAUCCCGGGGCUCAACCCCGGAACUGCACUUGAUACUGCGGUGCUCGAGUACUGGAGAGGAGAUUGGAAUUUACGGUGUAGCAGUGAAAUGCGUAGAUAUCGUAAGGAAGACCAGUGGCGAAGGCGAAUCUCUGGACAGUUACUGACACUGAGGCAGCGAAGGCCAGGGGAGCAAACAGG
rnacentral:rRNA from 1 species